GUCCACGCCCUAAACGGUGCUCACUUGGUGUGGGAGGAUUCGACCCCUUCCGUGCCGUAGCUAACGCGUUAAGUGAGCCGCCUGGGGAGUACGGCCGCAAGGUUAAAACUCAAAGAAAUUGACGGGGCCCGCACAAGCGGUGGAGUAUGUGGCUCAAUUCGAUGCAACGCGAAGAACCUUACCUGGGUUUGACAUGCACCAUGAAAGCCGAUGAAAGUCGGUGACGGCCCGAAAGGGUGCUGGGGGUGCACAGGUGCUGCAUGGCUGUCGU
rnacentral:rRNA from 1 species